GCAAUGGUGGUUCAGUGGUAGAAUUCUCGCUUUCCAUGGGGGAGAGCCAGGUUUGAUUUCUGGCCAAUGCA
rnacentral:tRNA from 1 species